rnacentral:rRNA from 1 species
UACGAAGGGUGCUAGCGUUGCUCGGAAUUACUGGGCGUAAAGCGCACGUAGGCGGCUUGUUAAGUCGGGGGUGAAAUCCUGGAGCUCAACUCCAGAACUGCCUUCGAUACUGGCGAGCUCGAGUUCGGGAGAGGUGAGUGGAACUGCGAGUGUAGAGGUGAAAUUCGUAGAUAUUCGCAAGAACACCAGUGGCGAAGGCGGCUCACUGGCCCGAUACUGACGCUGAGGUGCGAAAGCGUGGGGAGCAAACAGG